GGUUAAGCGACUAAGCGUACACGGUGGAUGCCCUGGCAGUCAGAGGCGAUGAAGGACGUGCUAAUCUGCGAUAAGCGUCGGUAAGGUGAUAUGAACCGUUAUAACCGGCGAUUUCCGAAUGGGGAAACCCAGUGUGUUUCGACACACUAUCAUUAACUGAAUCCAUAGGUUAAUGAGGCGAACCGGGGGAACUGAAACAUCUAAGUACCCCGAGGAAAAGAAAUCAACCGAGAUUCCC
rnacentral:rRNA from 1 species